rnacentral:rRNA from 1 species
GGAGGGGGGGGCGGCCCUACACAUGCAAGUCGAGCGGAACGGAGUUAUCUGAACCUUCGGGGAACGAUAACGGCGUCGAGCGGCGGACGGGUGAGUAAUGCCUGGGAAAUUGCCCUGAUGUGGGGGAUAACCAUUGGAAACGAUGGCUAAUACCGCAUGAUGCCUUCGGGCCAAAGAGGGGGACCUUCGGGCCUCUCGCGUCAGGAUAUGCCCAGGUGGGAUUAGCUAGUUGGUGAGGUAAUGGCUCACCAAGGCGACGAUCCCUAGCUGGUCUGAGAGGAUGAUCAGCCACACUGGAACUGAGACACGGUCCAGACUCCUACGGGAGGCAGCAGUGGGGAAUAUUGCACAAUGGGCGCAAGCCUGAUGCAGCCAUGCCGCGUGUAUGAAGAAGGCCUUCGGGUUGUAAAGUACUUUCAGUCGUGAGGAAGGUGGUGUAGUUAAUAGCUGCAUCAUUUGACGUUAGCGACAGAAGAAGCACCGGCUAACUCCGUGCCAGCAGCCGCGGUAAUACGGAGGGUGCGAGCGUUAAUCGGAAUUACUGGGCGUAAAGCGCAUGCAGGUGGUUCAUUAAGUCAGAUGUGAAAGCCCGGGGCUCAACCUCGGAAUUGCAUUUGAAACUGGUGGACUAGAGUACUGUAGAGGGGGGUAGAAUUUCAGGUGUAGCGGUGAAAUGCGUAGAGAUCUGAAGGAAUACCAGUGGCGAAGGCGGCCCCCUGGACAGAUACUGACACUCAGAUGCGAAAGCGUGGGGAGCAAACAGGAUUAGAUACCCUGGUAGUCCACGCCGUAAACGAUGUCUACUUGGAGGUUGUGGCCUUGAGCCGUGGCUUUCGGAGCUAACGCGUUAAGUAGACCGCCUGGGGAGUACGGUCGCAAGAUUAAAACUCAAAUGAAUUGACGGGGGCCCGCACAAGCGGUGGAGCAUGUGGUUUAAUUCGAUGCAACGCGAAGAAC